UGAGUUCUCUAGCUGAGACAGAAAGACACAGUUCAGCCAUACAAAUGUGCAGUCGUUAUGAAAGACUUGACUGCAUCUACUCAUAGAAAGGCAAGUAGUGCACUCGAUGACCGCCUCUCCAAGACAGACACAGAAAGAGAUGUCACUCCUCAGACAACAGUGCCUUCAAAAGAUUUUCAAAAGGAGCUGGUCACGGGCAAAUUCACACAUCCAGAACCUGGCUUUUCCUCCAAGAUACCAGUAUGCUACACAUUACAUUACAAGAAUCGGGACUAAUACCUUUAUCCUGUAAAACAAUGCAAUCCCUUCCUAAUUGUAACUGGAAAUUGUACCAAAGUUAUCAUUUGUGCUCAGUGAGUUUGUGAAUUAAUUCAUUAUGCUGUUAAAAUCCCAGCGUCUCUUAUCACCUGGCGCUUUGAAGACUCCGGUUGCAUUACCAGCGCUGCCCCAUCAGCUGCCAACUGCAUGAGCUGGAGGCGGCUAAGAAGUGAAUCCUUGAGCUGAGAAAUUCCACCUAGGGGAGGAGACGCAGCUUUGACUUGCAAACAUGGCCCAGGAACCCAGCAGAGCUAUCUGGAGAACCACCUGAAUCAUCGAUCCAUAAAACCAUCAUGAAAGUCAAUGUCUCCUCCAGCACAGAUCAGAGUCAGGCUUAGAUGAAAUGCCGUCGGUAAUGAUAGCCCUGUUCUCUGAGCGUGGACAAGACUAAGGGAUCAGUUGUACCUUAUGUGAAGGAAGCCUUGUGCAAACACUAACCUGAAAAUAGUAGUCAGAAAAGCCAAGCCAGCCCUUUGUUUUGAAAUCCUUUCCUAAAUAUAUGUGACUUCUGCAUUUAAAGUUUGAUGUUACCUUUGAGGAAAUAAGCCAGCAUCGCUGAUUAAAAGAAUAUUUAUUUUCCACAAUGCCACCAUAAGCCGCAUACAUUUGCCUGGCUGCCAAGCGAUAAUUAAUUUCCUAGUGUGCACUGCCUGUCUCGAGACUUCCACGGAGCCACCUAGUAUUUCUCAUUAAAAUGAAUCCUGAAGGCACUUUGUUAUUGUUUAGUCUCAGAAAAAUAUUGACAAGGGUUUUCUUUUUCCCUCCAUCAACAUCAUUGUUUUAUAAAUGUUAAGCGUGAAAGAAUUUUUUGCACACCUUUGAAGUAUUCCUUAUCAAUAAUUCAUUCAAAAUCACAAAGGAGCAAAAUAGCUGGGUGGUCGAAACCGUAGCAAUGUUAGGAAAAUCACAACUGCUUUUAAAUCAUCAUAGUGCUGAGAUAAAGCUUCGUUGAAGGCACAGUAACAUUCACAAAUCCAUGGGUUUCUCUUUGUACUCAACUCAGCUGUGCUUUUUAACUGAGCUUGAGAGGGACGGUGUUUUACCAGCAUUCCAGAUGACAGCACCGAGGUGUGGGCACUCUCACAUCCAUUUUUGUGUAUUAAAAUGCCAUCUGAAAAGGCGGAGUGCUUAUGUAGUUUUCUACCCUUGCCUCAUGUCAUGGGUAAUUAUCUCUUAAUCUUGGGGUUUUGUUUACCUUAUUUUUAUACUAUGCCCACUGGGAAGGGAUUAUUUCUUCUGUAUGAUAUUCAAAGCAGAGCUGAAACUAUUGCCAGUGCUAAAUAAAUGUUCAAUAGUAAGAGUCA
rnacentral:lncRNA from 12 species